rnacentral:lncRNA from 1 species
CAAGGUUGCCAAGAUCCUAAAUCGCGAACGCGUGUUACGUGGUUAGAUAAUCGGUAAGGGUUGGUUUGCAAGUCGUACCAAAACCAACUACACAAGGAAGACUUGGUGGUUGGGGUGUCCUUGAUCGCUAUAACUAACUUAUUGUUAAGAGAAAGGAAAUCUAUUUUCAAGGACCGGUUCGAGUUUGGAGUGUAUUGAGG